CGGAGCGGGAAGCCAGGCGGUGACGCCGAGCGGAACCCGAAAGCCCCUCUCAGUUCGGAUCGGAGUCUGCAACCCGACUCCGUGAAGCUGGAUUCGCUAGUAAUCGCGCAUCAGCCAUGGCGCGGUGAAUACGUUCCCGGGCCUUGUACACACCGCCCGUCAAGCCAUGGGAGCCGGGAGCGCUUGAAGUGCGUCGCCGCGAGGCGCGCCCUAGAGCGAGACCGGUGACUGGGGCUAAGUCGUAACAAGGUAGC
rnacentral:rRNA from 1 species